UUGUGAUUUAUUUCUGUUUUAUAUUACCUUUUUAUUCUUAGCCUAUGUGCAAUAAGACUGAAGGGCUCUAGUGACUAGACUAAGUGGAAGGCCAAGGGUGAAGAUUGAUAUGAAGGCCUGUGUCUGUGAUUAGUUCUUUGUUGGGAUUAGAUUAUGAUCUCCUGAGGGGUGGUGAUAAGCAUAGAUUGACGAUGAUGGUGUUAAGCUUCUGAGCAUGAGUAUUGGUAUUUUUGUUGACUUGAAAAUCUUUGAUCUCAAGCAUAAUAGUGCGACCAAAAUAUUAGGUGAAUUUUUCUGGUUGGAUUGUGUGUAACAAAACAAAUGCCUUGUGACUCAAAUUUAGAUGCCAAGAAACAAUUUUGGAAGAUGUUUUGAUGAAUGAUGAUAUUUAAGUUGAACUGGUAUGGCAGAAUCAAAUUAACUUUUUUUGAGUGGACCAGGAAAGGAAUAGCCAAUGGCAGCCGGACCUUUUAUGGGGUUUUUUAUGACCCUUUGUUCUGGAUAAUUCUGAAGGAUGUUAUUGAAAAGGACGUGAAAUUUGGAUUGACUCGACAACGUUGAAAUAUAA
rnacentral:misc_RNA from 1 species